CGAAUGGAGCAAUCCUAGUAGAGCGGCGCACGGGUGCGUAACACGUGGAUAAUCUGCCUGGGUGUCUGGGAUAACCAGUCGAAAGAUUGGCUAAUACCGGAUAAGCCCCCGGGAGCUUCGGCUCUUGAGGGAAAAGGUGGCCUCUGUAUACAAGCUAUCACAUCCAGAUGAGUCCGCGGCCCAUCAGCUAGUUGGCGGGGUAAUGGCCCACCAAGGCAACGACGGGUAGCUGGUCUGAGAGGACGAUCAGCCACACUGGAACUGAGACACGGUCCAGACUCCUACGGGAGGCAGCAGUGGGGAAUUUUGCGCAAUGGGCGAAAGCCUGACGCAGCAACGCCGCGUGUGUGAUGAAGGUCUUCGGAUUGUAAAGCACUUUCGACCGGGACGAAAACCCGUUGGCUAACAUCCAACGGCUUGACGGUACCGGGAGAAGAAGCACCGGCUAACUCUGUGCCAGCAGCCGCGGUAAUACAGAGGGUGCAAGCGUUGUUCGGAAUUAUUGGGCGUAAAGCGCGUGUAGGCGGCUUUGCAAGUCGGGUGUGAAAGCCCUCAGCUCAACUGAGGAAGUGCGCCCGAAACUGCAGAGCUUGAGUGCCGGAGAGGGUGGCGGAAUUCCCCAAGUAGAGGUGAAAUUCGUAGAUAUGGGGAGGAACACCGGUGGCGAAUGCGGCCACCUGGACGGUAACUGACGCUGAGACGCGAAAGCGUGUGGA
rnacentral:rRNA from 1 species